ACGGGUGAGUAACGCGUGGGAAUCUACCGUACCCUACGGAAUAGCUCUGGGAAACUGGAAGUAAUACCGUAUACGCCCUUCGGGGGAAAGAUUUAUCGGGGUAUGAUGAGCCCGCGUUGGAUUAGCUAGUUGGUGGGGUAAAGGCCUACCAAGGCGACGAUCCAUAGCUGGUCUGAGAGGAUGAUCAGCCACAUUGGGACUGAGACACGGCCCAAACUCCUACGGGAGGCAGCAGUGGGGAAUAUUGGACAAUGGGCGCAAGCCUGAUCCAGCCAUGCCGCGUGAGUGAUGAAGGUCUUAGGAUUGUAAAGCUCUUUCACCGGAGAAGAUAAUGACGGUAUCCGGAGAAGAAGCCCCGGCUAACUUCGUGCCAGCAGCCGCGGUAAUACGAAGGGGGCUAGCGUUGUUCGGAAUUACUGGGCGUAAAGCGCACGUAGGCGGGUAUUUAAGUCAGGGGUGAAAUCCCAGAGCUCAACUCUGGAACUGCCUUUGAUACUGGGUAUCUUGAGUAUGGAAGAGGUAAGUGGAAU
rnacentral:rRNA from 1 species